AGUCUGGUGCCAGCAGCCGCGGUAAUUCCAGCCCCAAUAGCGUAUAUUAAAGUUGUUGCAGUUAAAAAGCUCGUAGUUGAAUUUUUCGCCGCGGCCCGCGUCGCGCUGGUUUACUCUGGCGCUUCGCGGGCACGCGGCGUUUCUGUGGAGGUAGCGCGUCCGGGGUUCACUCCCCGGGCGCGCGAGACCACUCAGUUACUGUGAGCAAAACGGAGUGUUCAAAGCAGGCAAUCGCUUGAACGACUUAGCAUGGAAUAACAAUGCACGACUUGGUCGGCUUUGUUGGUUUAUCGACCGAGUAAUGGUUAACAGGAACAGUUGGGGAUGUCUGUAUUUCCUAGUCAGAGGUGAAAUUCUUGGAUUUAGGGAAGACAAACGACUGCGAAAGCAUUCAUCAUGAUGUUUUCAUUAAUCAAGAACGAAAGUUUGGGGAUCGAAGAUGAUUAGAUACCAUCGUAGUCCAAACCAUAAACGAUGCCGACUCAGGAUCCUCAGUCGUUGAUUACGACUCUGGGGGCACUGUAUGAGAAAUCAAAGUCUUUGGGUUCCGGGGGGAGUAUGAUCGCAAGAUUGAAACUUAAAGGAAUUGACGGAAGGGCACACCAGAGGUGGAGCCUGCGGUUUAAUUUGACCCAACACGGGGAAACUUACCAGGUCCAGACAUAGCGAGGAUUGACAGUUUGAAAGCACUUUCUUGAUUCUAUGGGUGGUGGUGCAUGGCCGUUCUUAGUUGGUGGAGUGAUUUGUCUGGUUGAUUCCAAUAACGAACGAGACCCGCGCACUUAAAUAGGAGGGGCAAUUUCACGAUUGCCCGGGCCUUCUUAUGUGGACAACUCUUGCUUAAAGAGGGGAAGCGGCGGGCAAUAACAGGUCUGUGAUGCCCUUAGAUGUUCUGGGCGACACGCGCGCUACAAUGAUUGGUUCAACGGGUUUUUCCUUGCCCGGAAGGGCAUGGGUAAUCCUUUCAAUGCCAAUCGUGAUGGGGCUAGAUGCUUGCAAUUAUUCAUCUUCAACGAGGAAUCUCUAGUAUGUGCGUUUCAUCAGAGCGCGCAGAAUGCGUCCCUGCCCUUUGUACACACCGCCCGUCGCAGCUACCGAUUGGAAGGUCGACAAGAUCUCAGGAGGCGAGCAGUCGCUGGGCUCUCGGGCUCGGAGGCCGCUUGCCGAAUUUGCUCAAAUCUUAUCUUCUAGAGGAAGCUGAAGU
rnacentral:rRNA from 1 species